rnacentral:rRNA from 1 species
AGUGAAUAGAUACCCGGGUAGUCCACGCCGUAAACUAUGGACGCUAGCUGUUAGAAGUAUCGACCCUUCUAGUAGCGAAAGCUAAACGCGUUAAGCGUCCCGCCUGUGGAGUACGAGCGCAAGCUUAAAACAUAAAGGAAUUGACGGGGACCCGCACAAGCGGUGGAGCGUGUUGUUUAAAUUCGAUGCUAAGCGAAGAACCUUACCCAGGUUUGACAUCCUGCUAAUUUCUCCGAAAGGAGAGAGUGCCUUCGGGCCGCAGUGACAGGUGUUGCAUGGCCGUCGUCAGCUCGUGUCGUGAGAUGUUUGGUUAAGUCCAUCAACGAGCGCAACCCUUUUGUUUAGUUGUAUUUCUCUAAACAGACUGCCCUGGUAACAGGG